GAUUCAUAAUAACUUCACGAAUCGCAUGGCCUUGCGCCGGCGAUGGUUCAUUCAAAUUUCUGCCCUAUCAACUUUCGAUGGUAGGAUAGUGGCCUACCAUGGUGGCAACGGGUAACGGGGAAUUAGGGUUCGAUUCCGGAGAGGGAGCCUGAGAAACGGCUACCACAUCCAAGGAAGGCAGCAGGCGCGCAAAUUACCCAAUCCCGAUACGGGGAGGUAGUGACAAUAAAUACUGAUACAGGGCUCUUUUGGGUCUUGUAAUUGGAAUGAGAACAAUCUAAAUCCCUUAACGAGGAACAAUUGGAGGGCAAGUCUGGUGCCAGCAGCCGCGGUAAUUCCAGCUCCAAUAGCGUAUAUUAAAGUUGUUGCAGUUAAAAAGCUCGUAGUUGAACCUUGGGCCCGUCCUGCCGGUCCGCCUCACCGCGAGUACUGGUCCGGAUGGGCCUUUCUUUCUGGGGAAUCCCAUGGCCUUCACUGGCUGUGGCGGGGAACCAGGACUUUUAC
rnacentral:rRNA from 1 species